rnacentral:rRNA from 1 species
AACGAACGCUGGCGGCACGCUUAACACAUGCAAGUCGAACGGCAGCGGCACCUUCGGGUGGCCGGCGAGUGGCGAACGGGUGAGUAACACGUGGAGACCUGCCCUAGGGUACGGGACAACAGUUGGAAACGACUGCUAAUACCGUAUACGUCCUACGGGAGAAAGAUUUAUUGCCCUUUGGAGGGGUCCGACGUCGGAUUAGCUUAGUUGGUAGGGUAAAGGCCUACCAAGGCGACGAUCCGUAGCUGUUCUUAGAGGAAGAUCAGCCACACUGGGACUGAGACACGGCCCAGACUCCUACGGGAGGCAGCAGUGGGGAAUAUUGCGCAAUGGGGGGC